GUCAAAAGCAUAGGAAAAACACCGUUCGAAAGUAGAAAAAUAAAUAUUUUUGCGAAGUUGCUCAACCGAUCUUCAUUUUGGAACUCAAAUUUGAAAGAUAAAUGGUAAGUGGUUAUUUUUAUGUAAAAAUAUAUACGUUUAUAGGCUAAAUACAAAGAAAAAAUAGUAUAAUACAAAUUACAAUCUCGGUGCUUGUGAUGUUCUUGCCAAGAAGCAGAUUCCCAUUUCGCUAAAUUAAUGCGGGCCAAACGUAUUGCUUUCCUGUCUUUUACAUUAAUAAGAAAGCAUAGGUGCUGAUUUGAAACACGUCCAUCAGGUUCCAUGCAUGUAGCUUUGCGAUUUGUGAGCAAAAAUUAAAUAAUACUUUCUGUGCAACUAAUAACCACAUUCACAAAUAUAUUCUCCAGCAAAGAAACGUUUCUUUACGGAUUGUUAAUCCGCAUUUGAAGGCAUGCUUAUGCCUUCAAAGGUCAGAGGUCUUCACAUGCAGAAUAGCAGAGACUAGUGUCAUUGACAUCCUUUGUCACAAAAUUAUGAUGGCAUAUUGGACAGCUAUGUUGGAUAAGGCACUUCCUUAAUAAAUAGCUUGACACAUAAGUUCAUGCAGACUAAGUUUUGUUCAAUUUCAUUUGUUUUGUAGUCGGUAUCUUCAACUGCUUGGAUUAGUGGUGGGCUUGUCUGAUCAUUUCCUGCAGAUAAAUCAGAUUGGCUAGGGUGAAAUGCAAUCAAAUAGGCAUCAGAAUCUUCAGCACAGCUGCCAAUUGAAAGUGGUGUCAAAACAUUAUCUACAAAUAAUAUGCAAAAUGCUCUGGUGAACUGGAUGGGACUAAUUGGUUGUCCCAAUCCCCCCCUGCUGCCUAAUGAGGCCAAAGAAGUUCUCCAGAGGAUCUUGUCAUGAGAAACUCCAAGGAAUGAUGUUGGUUAAGGUCUUGAAAUGUAAAUACUACAGUGUAAUAACUACUGACAGUGUAAAUACUACAACAGUGAAAUGUAAAUACAACAGUGUAAUUGGGGUUUAAAAAUACAAAGUUUAUUUUAAUAAAUGUUGUUUAUUUUAUGUCACAUUUAUAUACAUUUAAGAACUUAAAUUAUUCAAAAACUAAAUAAAUUAAAUAUGUGUUCAAUGUCAAUGAAUAUUGCUAUAUUCUAAAUUUUUUAUUCCAAAAUAGGCAAUAACUGUUUCCUUUAUAGUUGACCCCACAUGUUGUCAUGAAAAUU